AGUGUACGGCGCUCACGCGCCUACUCUACAGGGGGGCAAUUGGUGCUUUUAUACAUACAAUUAGCAAAUAGUGAUAGUACAGUGCCUGGAGCAGUGACUCGAAUGUAGGCGAUGACGUGGCGCUCCUUAACUCGCAUUACGUACGUAUACUGACCAAUCGCACCUCUCACUUGUGCCGGUGAACCGAGUUCCUUCGAUCGUGAUUCCUCACGGUGCUCUCAAGUUCAAGGUUAUACCGGGGACGUAAAAAGUGAAACUGUAUAUAUUUGUAAGACGAAGAGGAUCGACGAGGCGACGUUUGUGCGUAGGAUGUCUCGAUGAUUCAGAUUUCAAUUAAGUCGAAGUGCUGGCUUUAUGGCUCCGACUGGAAGCAGCCGAAGCAGAGAACGAGAACCGAGGCUCUUUCUCUCUCUACAAAUGGGAGAGAGAGAGAGAGAGAGAGAGAGAGCAAGCGAGAAGGAGAGAAACGCUCUACAGGGACAGAUAGAGAGAAAGAGGCGAAAUGGUCCUUCCCGUUUCGGUCGUUCUCUCUCUAUCGCAGCCGCGCGCGCAGACAGAGCCGAGAGCGGGAGCAGUAGAGUAUAGCAGUUCGCGCAGAGCGAGUAGUGGUGGUAACUGUCACCAAUGAUAAUUUAUGUUAAUGGCAGUUUACACCGGCGCGGCUGGGGUAGAACGCCAGCUACGCGCGAACCGAGAGCAGUAGUCUGCAGGUCGUCGCGACGCCGAGAGGACGCUUCAGACAUCUCCUGCAUUCUCCAGAGAAGAAUACGAUCGAGAGAAUUUUUUCCAUCAACUCGAAGGUAUGGAAUAAAGAAAAGGAAUAAACACGCGGAAGAGAAAGUGGAGGCGCUAUACACAGCGGCUCACCCCCGGCAUCCCCUGACUUUCGGCUGCGCGGCGGCGGCAAUGGCGACGCCCAGCCAGUCUCUCUCUCUCUCUCUCUCUCUCUCUCUCUCUCUCUCACAGGCGAGCGAGGCGCAGACUCGCGCGGCGACGUGCAGCAGCAGCGGCGGAGGAGCAGCAGCCCAGCCUGACGCGGCGUGUAUACCUGUACGUGUGUCCCGGAUUUUCGGGAUCGACAUCGGCUGUCUCGCUCAGCGCCGCCGCCGGGACACCCGUUGAAUGCCGCCCCCACCCGCAUACAUGAAAUUUCGCGCUAGACGAGCCCGGACUUUCCUACCGACGACAUCACCGCUAGCGCGCUUGGGACGUGCAUACGAGUAUCGUCUGCUACGUGUACAGUCACAUAAAACGGCGGCGGCGGCGGCGGCGGGGAGCAAUCUCGCGCUAUGACGAGGGGCGUCCAGAGAGCAGAGCGAGCGAAAGAGAGAGAGAGAGAAAAAUACAUGCCGGCUGGUGAGCAGAUGGUUGCCCCGUUUAUUGGUUUAUUCGUCGGCUCGGCCCACGUCUCGCAGUCCCCUUUGUGCCGCUGAUGCUGCUCUGAAAGAGCGAGAGAGAGAGAGAGAGAGAGAGAGCUGUGUACGCGCGAACUAGGGAGUGCCGUCGUCCGGCCAGGCUAUAGUGUGUAGCCCCGCACCUUUUGCCGGCUACUUUUUCCUGCGCAGCGAGGGACCGACCGACCGACCGAGCGUACACGAGAGGGGCAGACUUACGACAACGCCAACGACGUCGUCGCGGCGGAAAAUGCAGUGUAUAUAGCGUCUGGCGCUCUCAACAGCGAAAAUCCCGCCCGACGAAAGCCGCCAGCACCAGCCAGCAUCAGCAGCCACCCUCAUCCCACCCCCACCCACACACAGACACAAAGCGAGCAACCCUCGCUAUGGCGUCGUGGGCGUAAAACGGCGGGUCGAUAGGACGACUCCCCACCACGAUCUCUCUCACUCACCCCUUUGCUCGAUAGCGCCACUAUCACCCCCGGACUCUUCUCCAUCCCGAGGGAAUGAAAAUUACACCUCGCCGAGCAGCAGUAAGCAAGCGAGUCCGAAAUUUCCACGGGGAGUCGCUCGACGUGUGUGUAUGUAUAUCCAUGGACGAGUCCGACGUGUGUUUUGACGCGCGAAGGGGCUGUGUGCAGCGCAGGAGCUCUGGACGCAGGAUUAUCCGAGAGCCUGGAAAGGAUUUAAAAGG